CGAGGGCAAAAUCCUUCGCUCACAAUGUUAUUAUCAGCUGGCCAGUAUCCGAGUCGGUGUCACAUUCACAAAUACAGUAUCUCACUGUCUCCUCCUUCCAGAUUAUGACUGCCACUUUCUUCAAUUUUUCGGUAUGGAAUUAGCAUUUCACGAUUAUAUGUGGGGAAUUGAAGAAGGCUUUAGUCGAAAUCGAAGGGGGUUAGAAUAAAGGAUUAUCAUUGAUUUGUCUAGCAAUUCCAGUCUUGUAAGGAUUCAUAUAAAGGUUAGAUCUCUGCUUGUUUCAUGUAACCUCUUACUAUAUCAGCAUGAUCACAAAAAUUUAGGGUUUUGUCACUUAAUCGUUGAUUCAUAUUCCAUUCAUGUCACUCUUUCAUAAUAAUCUGUCAAUAUCUUUGAUGUGAAAACAAAUGUUCGUGAAUAAUGAUGGCAGAGUUCAUUUCGACACACAAUCCGUAUUUUGUGAAUCACCUAAUUAGAUCUAGAGAUUGCAAUGGUCUUGUUAUUUGGUGUACUACCUAAACAGUUCCUGUAACUGAAAACCUUAAGAACUGAGUUUCGGGGAUGAAGAUUGUUGUACAGCGUAUUAUUCUUAUUUGUUUACAGAUACUUUUGUUUGAAAUUGAGGUCAACGAUGUGAGAUGGAACUGUGAACUGAGCAGAGUUAGGUACCAGAACAAACUUUAGGUUUUCUCAGGCUGUAGUAGUCAGUGGCCCAUAAACCCACUAAACACGACUCCUUAAAGUGUAAGGUUUGGGUAGGACAUCAGAAAUUGGGGUGAAGAUUAUCAUUGCAGCAAUUUAGUAACUGACUGGCUUUCCUUGAAUUGAGUCGCCUUACACUGUGUAAGAACUAACUUAGCUUGACUACAAAAGGUGUGGGAAGUUAUAAUGAGAGAGUUGGAGUUAUAUAAAUGAUUUCUUCCUGGCUCCUGGGGGUUAUGGUUGUUUCUGUGCUGCUGUGCAUAAGGAAAAAAAUCUUUCUGCUAGGGUGCCUGCUACUUGCUUGUUACCACAGGGUACAGUAAAAGCUGCCACAAAUGCUACUAUAGAGAUAUGGGUUGCUACCAGCAUACACGAAUUUGAGGGGAAGAAACAUGUACGAGUAAAGCAGGUUGAUGGAAAUGGGAGAGAUGAAUAGAGAUUGAAGAUUAUAAGUAACAACAGCAAGAGGACAAGACAAUGAGAUUCAGAUCUCCACUCACAUGGCAAUUUGGAGUCUAAAAGAAGUGGAGAGUGCAACGAAGAAACUGUACAACCCGUAUACAUUCAUAGACUCAUAGUCAAUCAUGAACACUAAAAGCUAAAAAGGCAACAAUCUCUGAAUAUGCAAGCAAAAAGUACAGAUGCAGCAGAAUCUCCCAUGUGAGCACUCUCAUUAAUGAACUGGCUGCUUCUUGCAACUUCUAGCUACUCCUUCCACUUCAGUAAUUCAUCUACGUGAAUAUUACAUCUUCUAUUUUUAUAUUUCCUCUUUUAAUCUUCUUUAGAUAGAUAACUUUUAGUUGGAGCAUCUGCACUUAGCCUGGACAUCUUCAUGGUGUCCAGACUGCAGAGAUUGUCUAUCCCUUCCUGGCAAACGCUAGUUAAAUUCGAUAAGGCUCUAUGGAUCAAAAGGCAUUGUGAUACACUAUCCUAACACAUAUCUCGCAUCCAAAACAAUUGGACCUUUCUCAAAGGCAAAGGUAUUGUUGGGAAUUUCUUCUUGUUUACCAAAUUGGAGGAUCAUAAAAGCUUUACAUUUGAAAUAAACUAUAUUAAUCUUUAGUCAGUCCAGUUUUUAGUCUCUUUAUCUCUGUAUAGUCUCCCUGCUUGUAGUUGGUCAGUGUUCAGUCUGUAUUGGACUUCUAUCUAAUGAAUGGAUCCUUUUCUUUGCUCAAAAUAAAA